AGUAACGGCGAGUGAAGCGGCAAAAGCUCAAAUUUGAAAUCUAGCACCUUCGGUGUUCGAGUUGUAAUUUGAAGAUGGUAACCUUGGGUUUGGCUCUUGUCUAUGUUCCUUGGAACAGGACGUCAUAGAGGGUGAGAAUCCCGUCUGAUGAGAUGCCCAUUCCUAUGUAAGGUGCUAUCGAAGAGUCGAGUUGUUUGGGAAUGCAGCUCUAAGUGGGUGGUAAAUUCCAUCUAAAGCUAAAUAUUGGCGAGAGACCGAUAGCGAACAAGUACAGUGAUGGAAAGAUGAAAAGAACUUUGAAAAGAGAGUGAAAAAGUACGUGAAAUUGUUGAAAGGGAAGGGCAUUAGAUCAGACUUGGUGUUUUACGAUUAUCUUCUCUUCUUGAGUUGUGCACUCGUAUUUCACUGGGCCAGCAUCGAUUCGGAUGGCAAGAUAAUGGCAGUUGAAUGUGGCUUCACUUCGGUGGAGUGUUAUAGCUUCUGCUGAUAUUGCCUGUCUGGAUCGAGGGCUGCGUCUUUGACUAGGAUGC
rnacentral:rRNA from 1 species